CAAUAGCGUAUAUUAAAGUUGUUGCAGUUAAAAGCUCGUAGUUGAAUUUCUGAUCAAUUUUAGUUUCGGCUUCGGCCGGGCUAAGGUUGGUCAUCCGUCUGCAAGCUAUUCUCGGCCUUCAUUGGUUCGGAUUAGCGAGCUGACAUUUUACUUUGAAAAAUUAGAGUGUUUCAGGCAGGCUUUUGCCCGAUACAUUAGCAUGGAAUAAUGGAAUUGGACUUUGAUCCAUUUGGUUGGUUAUUGGAUCUAAGUAAUGGUUAAUAGGGACAGUUGGGGGCAUUAGUAUUUAAUUGUCAGAGGUGAAAUUCUUGGAUUUAUUAAAGACUAACUUAUGCGAAAGCAUUUGCCAAGGAUGUUUUCAUUAAUCAAGAACGAAAGUUAGGGGAUCAAAGAUGAUCAGAUACCA
rnacentral:rRNA from 1 species